GAGGGAAGUUCGUUCAAAUCCUGUUGGUGCUAAGAUGCUACCCUGUGCCUCAAGGGACACGAAGCUUGGACACAGGACAGAGGUGGGGCGGGAGCCAGGGAAGGUGAGGGGCUGAACUGGAGCAGCAACCAGGGUGGUGGUGGGGGAUGGGAUGAGAGAUCCUUCCUGACCAGUCCAGGUGGCUGUGCUCCUGCAGUCUCCUCCCUGGUCUCGCACACUUUGACUUCCUUACUCAGGAGGCAUUGUGAAGUCUCCCCGCGAUGCCACUCCACCUCCUCUGGGAUUCUCUGCCACUCAAGGGCUGGGACGGGAAGGAGGCACCCUGAGUUUAUUGUGUGAGUUGAAGUGGAAGGUGAUGAAUGGCGGCUUCCCUUGGACAACAGAUCUGGCCUUGGAGUGAAAGGAGGAAGAGGCUGAGUGCAGAAUGAGGGAUCCAUGUAGCCACCACUGAGAACUUCAGACCAGAAGAGACAAGCAGAGAUACUGCAACGCACUCAUCCAGAGCAGAGGAACCCUAUUUUGAGUUUACCUAUAGGACCUUAUAACAGGCAAACAUAUGAUGUCUUCAUAGUAUUAGAAAUAAUGAAAUGAAGGACUAUAUCAGUGACCUCCUGAAAGGUUAACUGGAAAU
rnacentral:lncRNA from 10 species